rnacentral:rRNA from 1 species
UAGGGAAUCUUCGGCAAUGGACGAAAGUCUGACCGAGCAACGCCGCGUGAGUGAAGAAGGUUUUCGGAUCGUAAAACUCUGUUGUGAGAGAAGAACAAGGACGUUAGUAACUGAACGUCCCCUGACGGUAUCUAACCAGAAAGCCACGGCUAACUACGUGCCAGCAGCCGCGGUAAUACGUAGGUGGCAAGCGUUGUCCGGAUUUAUUGGGCGUAAAGCGAGCGCAGGCGGUUUCUUAAGUCUGAUGUGAAAGCCCCCGGCUCAACCGGGGAGGGUCAUUGGAAACUGGGAGACUUGAGUGCAGAAGAGGAGAGUGGAAUUCCAUGUGUAGCGGUGAAAUGCGUAGAUAUAUGGAGGAACACCAGUGGCGAAGGCGGCUCUCUGGUCUGUACCUGACGCUGAGGCUCGAAAGCGUGGGGAGCAAACAGG